rnacentral:rRNA from 1 species
GAUGAACGCUGGCAGUGUGCCUUAGACAUGCAAGUCGAACGGAGUCGCUUGGUGGAGCCCUUCGGGGUGAAGCCUUGUGGCUUAGUGGCGAACGGGUGAGUAACACGUGGGUGACCUGCCCUCGAGUGUGGCAUAACAGGGGGAAACUCCUGCUAAUUCCGCAUGGCCUCGCCUCCCUUGGGGGGUGAGUAAAGGAGGCUUUGCCUCCGCUCGGGGAUGGGCCCGCGGCCCAUCAGCUUGUUGGUGGGGUAAUGGCCUACCAAGGCGACGACGGGUAGCCGACCUGAGAGGGUGACCGGCCACAGGGGCACUGAGAUACGGGCCCCACUCCUACGGGAGGCAGCAGUUAGGAAUCUUCCACAAUGGGGGCAACCCUGAUGGAGCGACACUGCGUGAAGGAUGAAGGCCUUCGGGUCGUAAACUUCUAAAAGAGGGACGAAUGCUGACGGUACCUCUUGACUAGCACCGGCUAACUCCGUGC